ensembl:lncRNA
CCUGGACUAUUUGUUAGAUUUGAAUAUUGGAAUGUGAGUAUGUGUGAGUGCUUCUGAGACAUACAACUUAUUACCAGGGGUCCAGGAGAAAGGGCGUCUUGCAGACCAGACUCCUAGCGCUUUUUAUCAGGCAAAAUCUUUCUGAUCGACUCUCAACCCAGUGUAUAGAAGUGCAUGUACACAAAGUGUGGAGAACAGUGUAAUAUAGUGUAGUAGUGUAGUAUAGUGGAGUAUUAUAUAGUGUAGUGUAGUAUAGUGUAAUAUAGUGGAGUGGAAUGUAGUGUAGUAUAGUGUAGUAUAGUGUAGUGUAGUGAGUUAUAGUGUAGUGUAGUAUAGUGUAAUAUAGUGGAGUGUAAUGUAGUAUAGUGUAGUGUAGUAUAGUGUAGUAUAGUGUAAUAUAGUGGAGUGUAAUGUAGUAUAGUGUAAUAUAGUGGAGUGAAUUGUAGUAUAGUGUAGUAUAGUGUAAUAUAGUGGAGUGUAAUGUAGUAUAGUGUAAUAUAGUGGAGUGGAAUGUAGUGUAGUAUAGUGUAGUAUAGUGUAAUAUAGUGGAGUGUAAUGUAGUAUAGUGUAGUGUAGUAUAGUGUAAUA